GUGAUGAAAAUGCAUAUGGGACAUUUAUGCGAUCAUGGGCAGUGUACUGAGAAUCUGUACAGAACUAGAAGAGGAUAAAAUUUUAUUUUUUGACUACUUGCAUCUUUGAAGUAAAUAUUUGCAUUGUUUGAAAAAGUAAAGAAGAAAUUGUUGUAUACAGUUCAGGCGGUAAAAGUAAUUUUUGACUCACCUUGUAGUAUUCAAUAUUUACCUGGUGCACAGUUUAUACUAACAGGCUAUCGUAACCAAUAAAACAACAAAUUACAAAUUACAAAAAAAAUUACCUUAUUUUGGGUACUCAUUUUUUUAUACUCACCGUCGCUAAAAUGUUAUACAGCUUCAGUCUCAGGGGUUUACUUCUGUCAAAAAGAAAAACAUCGAUGAUCUUUUCUGUUGUUUUAAAAUUGUGGUGCAAAGGGAAAAAAUAAGAAACAGGUUUAUCCCAAUACGCCUAGCCGGAAUAAUCGACGAAUUCUCGAUUAAAUUUUCAAAAGGCCCUAUCUGCAUAGGAAACCCAUGAGGGAUAGGUUGUUUUGAAAAUUUAAUCUAGAAUUAAGAUCGGCCACUUGUCACCACUGGCGGAUGUUGUCAAGAAAGCACCGCUUUCUUAGAACGCUGGGUUGGAAAGAACCGGUUUCUGUCGACGAGCCACGGUUGGGAAAUCGCAGCGGAUACGAACAACCUGGGUAAGCCUGUUGCCGGUUACAUUUGCCUGGGCCAAUCGUUUGAUUAUCUUGUACAAACAGCUCACUCUAGCAAAUUAAAAAAAAAAGUUUUAUUUUGGAAGCGAAUUGGUCACCCGCAAUCUGUAAGAUUGUGAAAAGAUUAUUGUUAUUCAAGCUUCCGCUAUCCUUCUACCUUACCUUUUUUUGUUGGCCAACAACUUCCGGUAUAUGUUGGAAGUUUAGAAGACAUCAGGACCCUGGAAACAACUGGUUCUGGAUACGGCAGAGAGAGUGACAGAUUCCGAUGAACACGAAAAUCCCGUUUCUACGUCCUCACUGCACUUGCUGGAUCAUCGCUUAAGACUUAAUCACAGUUUUUACACAUAAUAACAACUACCUGGGAUACGAAGUCAUUGUUUUUGUUCAUUGCACUCUGGUUAUCAACGUAAACAACAAAAUCGAGCACCAAUCCUUUACUUAACUUGCCACCAAACACGAACGAACUGAUCUGAUUGUUUUGUUUUCAGCUGUCAUCCGCAGCAACAAUCUCACAAUUGAAAUUUACACGAAUUUCAAAUUGACGCAAAAUUGUGAUGGAUUCAAAUUUUACAUGCUUUUUGAAAAUUAAUUUUUUCAGAAAUCGGAAACCAAAAAUGCAUUUACAUGAGAAUUGACCAUUACGACGGAUUUGAAUUUACAUGAUGGCACUUUAAAUGACAUUCAACAGUUUACAAUAGAUUUCAAAAUUAAAUUAAGCAUGUUUACGUAUGAAACACGGUUUACGUAACCGUUAAAUUUACACUUUUUUUCUGUGUACCUCGUAUACAGCUGUGCUUUGUGAAAAAAACAUCAUCCAAAACAGCUGUUUUGGUUUCUUUAGGAUCAUAAAGGUGGUUUGUUUUUGAAGGUGGUGUCCCUUUAGCCUCCUCCAAAGCCCGUGACAAAUAUGAGCGCAUCUUCCUAGUGGGCCCGGUUGUCCUUGACAACACUUCGUGAAACUCGCGGUAAGUUCCUGUUCGGCACAGGCGAAGUUUUUGUGUACAUUUCAGGGCAGGUUACCGCAUUCCCCUUCUGUUUUCUGGCCAAGCUAAGUUGAGGAUCAAUCGGGUGGGUUAUUCCUUCGAUCGGGAUAGAGAAGCCACUGCAGCUCCUGUUUAGGAACUUGUGGGACCUGUUGUGACCGAUCGGUGAGAACUCCCGUUUUUUUUGGCUUUUCGGACGGACCGCACUUUUUUCAUGACUUCGAAGACCUUCCACUAUCUGUUUAUCCCACAAGGCGAGAAGCGCUGGACCACUCGACGAACUCUUUCCUCUUCUGCCUCCGGAACCGUCAUCCAAGGUGUCCUUGCGUUGGCUUCCCGGAUUCAUUUCGCCGUCGGUUUUGCUCCUCACACACGACGUUCGUCGGCGGCGCGUUAAAACUAAAAGACCGCAUCCAGUUUCGCAGCCGAAAAAUAGAAUUCCUGCCAGCAUUUCGAGAAAAGGAUCGGCCAAACACGACGUGGUCAGUAGUAAGUAUAAUGCAACUCCUUUGCAAAUUCGUAAAUUUACAUCAUUUAUGAUGUACCAAAAGUGCACGUGAUGCGAAUUUACAUCGAAUUCAUUUUAAAUUUACAUGCCAUCCGAUGUAAACGUGCCGAACAAAAAGCGCUUCGAAAAGUGUAAAUUUCCGAUGAAAUCUACGUAAAAUUACCCAAGUCGAAAAUUUUUUUUUACUCCGUUGAAUCUCGAAUCUGAUGUAAUUUUCAAACGCUUUAAAUGUUUUUCAAAAUUUAAAAGCGCUCGAAAGUUUCAUUUGAUUCAGAUUCAACGGAGUAUUGCAAAAGCAUAACCGAAACAAAGAAAUGUAUAUUGGAGAAACUUUUGAAAAGCGCCCAAAAGCGUUUUGACAUCUGAGACAAUUUUGUAAUCUCGGCGACUACAGAUAACUAAUCAACAAAAGUGUUGUAUAAUAGCUGGAGAGGCCAGUUAUUGUUUCAAACUUUGAAUUUUAUUUAAAAAAAACUCUCGUUUGAUUAAUAACAAAUUAGUUCAAACUGUAAAAAUGCUUAU